rnacentral:rRNA from 1 species
CCUACGUGUGGCAGCAGUGGGGAAUAUUGCACAAUGGGGGAAACCCUGAUGCAGCAACGCCGCGUGAGUGAAGAAGUAUUUCGGUAUGUAAAGCUCUAUCAGCAGGGAAGAAGAUGACGGUACCUGAGUAAGAAGCCCCGGCUAACUACGUGCCAGCAGCCGCGGUAAUACGUAGGGGGCAAGCGUUAUCCGGAUUUACUGGGUGUAAAGGGAGCGUAGACGGUGAGACAAGUCUGAAGUGAAAGCCCGGGGCGCAACCCCGGGACUGCUUUGGAAACUGCCUGACUGGAGUGCAGGAGAGGCAAGCGGAAUUCCUAGUGUAGCGGUGAAAUGCGUAGAUAUUAGGAAGAACACCAGUGGCGAAGGCGGCUUGCUGGACAGUAACUGACGUUGAGGCUCGAAAGCGUGGGGAGCAAACAGGAUUAGAUACCCGAGUAGUC